CACGUAGGGCGCAAGCGUUGUCCGGAAUUAUUGGGCGUAAAGAGCUCGUAGGCGGUCUGUUACGUCUGCUGUGAAAACCCGGGGCUUAACCCUAGGCUUGCAGUGGAUACGGGCAGACUAGAGGCAGGUAGGGGAGAAUGGAAUUCCCGGUGUAGCGGUGAAAUGCGCAGAUAUCAGGAGGAACACCGGUGGCGAAGGCGGGUCUCUGGGCCGAUAUUGACGCUGAGGAGCGAAAGCGUGGGGAGCGAACAGG
rnacentral:rRNA from 1 species